UACGAAGGGGGCGAGCGUUGUUCGGAUUUACUGGGCGUAAAGGGUGCGUAGGCGGCGCGGUAAGUCGGGUGUGAAAUCUCGGAGCUUAACUCCGAAACUGCAUUCGAUACUGCCGUGCUUGAGGACUGGAGAGGAGACUGGAAUUUACGGUGUAGCAGUGAAAUGCGUAGAUAUCGUAAGGAAGACCAGUGGCGAAGGCGGGUCUCUGGACAGUUCCUGACACUGAGGCACGAAGGCCAGGGGAGCAAACGGG
rnacentral:rRNA from 1 species